rnacentral:rRNA from 1 species
CCCUUAGAUGUUCUGGGCUGCACGCGCGCUACACUGAAGCGUUCAACGAGUAUUUCACCUUGCCCGGGAGGGUUGGGUAAUCUUUUUAAAACGCUUCGUGAUGGGGAUAGAUUAUUGCAAUUAUUAAUCUUCAACGAGGAAUUCCUAGUAAGCGCGAGUCAUCAGCUCGUGCUGAUUACGUCCCUGCCCUUUGUACACACCGCCCGUCGCUCCUACCGAUUGAGUGAUCAGGUGAAUAAUUCGGACUGCAGCAGUGCUUGGUCCUCCGGGCUUUGCAGUGGAAAGUUUAGUGAACCUUAUCACUUAGAGGAAGGAGAAGUCGUAACA